GACAGAGGGUGCAAACGUUGUUCGGAAUUACUGGGCGUAAAGCGCGUGUAGGCUGCUUCGCAAGUCGGAUGUGAAAGCCCUGGGCUCAACCCAGGAAGUGCAUUCGAAACUGCAGAGCUGGAGUCCUGGAGAGGAAGGCGGAAUUCUCGGUGUAGAGGUGAAAUUCGUAGAUAUCGAGAGGAACACCGGUGGCGAAAGGCGGCCCUUCUGGACAGUGACUGACGCUGAGACGCGAAAGCGUGGGGAGCAAACAGG
rnacentral:rRNA from 1 species